rnacentral:rRNA from 1 species
GAUGAACGCUGGCGGCGUGCCUAAUACAUGCAAGUCGAGCGAACAGACGAGGAGCUUGCUCCUCUGACGUUAGCGGCGGACGGGUGAGUAACACGUGGAUAACCUACCUAUAAGACUGGGAUAACUUCGGGAAACCGGAGCUAAUACCGGAUAAUAUAUUGAACCGCAUGGUUCAAUAGUGAAAGACGGUUUUGCUGUCCCUUAUAGAUGGAUCCGCGCCGCAUUAGCUAGUUGGUAAGGUAACGGCUUACCAAGGCAACGAUGCGUAGCCGACCUGGGAGGGUGAUCGGCCACACUGGAACUGAGACACGGUCCAGACUCCGACGGGAGGCAGCAGUAGGGAAUCUUCCGCAAUGGGCGAAAGCCUGACGGAGCAACGCCGCGUGAGUGAUGAAGGUCUUCGGAUCGUAAAACUCUGUUAUUAGGGAAGAACAAAUGUGUAAGUAACUAUGCACGUCUUGACGGUACCUAAUCAGAAAGCCACGGCUAACUACGUG